rnacentral:lncRNA from 1 species
AUGGGCUGUAUAAUCAUGUUUACAUACUGAUUUUGAACUGAGUUAUUUCAUAAUUUACCUAGCUUAUUAUCUUGACCAACAUCCACUUUGUCCAGCUGAUCAAAGGAGAGAAGAAAGCAAGCUACAUCCUAAAUCGUCCUAACCCUGUUCAAAUAAACACUGCUUGGGUAAUCAAGUGUAUCUGGGCACAUCGAGUUUUGUGAUGAAAAAUACCAUUUGUGCUCUCCCCGUGGUGUUCUCCAAUCAGAGCACCCGUCACACAGGCUGCUCUGAGGGAGGCUGAGCUGCCUCAGUGCACUAUUAGCUUCUGACACUGACACCUGGGCAGUAGAAAGGAUGUGAUACUGUUGAUUUUAGUUCAGUUAGGAUUUUAAAAAGGAUGGUGUCCUUGAAUAAGCAUGGAGGCAACAAUAGGGGUGAAUAUCAGAAAGAACAUUAGGCCUAUUCAUCUCUCCUUCUGCUUCCUUCAUGCAGCUCCUACCUUCAGCUUGGAGAUGGUGCAGUGUAGACAUGUUUGGCUAAAGUUGGAAAAAACUUGAGCGACUGUUUAUAUGUCUAAAUGGGCAUAGGGAACGGGCCUGUGGUUGCCAAGAAGGUGGGGGAGGGAUGGAUUGGGAGUUUGGGACUAGCAGAUGCAAAGUAUUAUAUAUAGGAUGGGUAAUCAACAGCCCCUACUGUAUAGCACAAGGAACUAUAUUCAAUAUCCUGUAAUAAACCAUAAUGAAAAAGAAGUUUUAAAUUUAUCUUAGCAAGACCUAAGCUCCCUUUUUAAAGUUUUAUUGAAGUAUAGUUGAUUUACAAGAUUGUGGUAAGUUCUGUUGUACAACAAAGUGAUUCAGUUAUACGUAAACACACAUCCAUUCUCUUUCAUGUUAUUUUCCCAUAUAGAUUAUCACAGAAGAUUGGGUAGAGUUCUCUGUGCUAUUCGGAAGGUUCCCAUUGUCCAAUCAUUCCAUAUACCUUAGUGUGCAUAUGUAAAUCCCAAACCCCAGUCUACUUUCCUCAAAUACCCAGUCCACUUUCCCCAAACCUGCCCCCUUUGGUAACCAUAAGUUUUUAAAAGUCUAUGAGUCUGUUUCUGUUCUGCAACACCUAGACUACAUCACAAGAGCAGGUACUCAUCUAUUCAAUUUGUUACUUUAUCUGCAGUGCCUUACACAUUAAAUGGUACAUGGUAGGGUCUUAGUAAUUAAUUAUUAUUAGAUCAUUAAACAUGCCAACCAUGUUAUUCAGUGAUAAAUGAUCCUUUGCUAGUUGUGAGCAUUGAGUCAAAUAGACCCAGAUUUUAGGCUCAAGAAAGCACUAACAUUAUCUAGUACCAGAUCUCAGAUGCAAAUCUGCAGACAAGCUUCUCUUGCCUUGAGGAAAAAAAAACAUUUUUUUGUCUGGUUUCCCCAGGGUAAAUAGUUGUCCAUAUCUGAAUCUGAAUAAGCCAGUCUGGUCCUUCUUCAAAUAGAAUACUGCUCUUAGGAACCACAAAACAUCAGCCAGUGAGCAAGUGGAUCUGCAUAUGAGAUAGGAAAUUCAGGUAAUGAAUUACAGAGAUGCAUUAAACAAAUCUGCUUUGAUGUGACAUUGGAGUGCUGAAGGCAAUAAGAUGUUGGCCAAACCCAUUUGAUAAAGCACAUGGAAAGGCAAAUCUUUUGGUAUAAGAGCCUGUAUAAAUGUGUAUGUGUGGGCGCGUGCACGCACAUGCACACGUCACUCUUUGAUCAGUUAAUGGAAUCCCAGCUAAAACACAUUUUCAUUCUUAAAUGGCUGUUAGUCAAGUUUUUCACCUUUUGCUUUACAUUCUUUCGCAACAGCCCUUGACUUCAUGGAGUCACUCUCUGUUCUACUUCAAAGAGAGUUGCCUGUUUAUCCCUACUGUGUACAGAAGAAGAAGAAAAAGCUUUUAAAUACAGCAUUGCAGGUUUGCCCAGAAUAGAUAUCAUUGUGUGGAAGAAUAAUUGUGUACAAGAGCAGACCUGCAAAAUCCCAUUCAUUUACCGGGCGAUGUUCUCAGUUAGAGAAAUGCCUCAAGCUCUGUAUCUUUCCAUUGGCAUAAGGGUCAUUCUUGCUCCUAUAAAGAGACGCUUAUCAGGUGACACAUCAAUUUUCGAUUAAUUAGCACUCCCAUUUUUUGGACAAGGAGGGCUUCAUUUUACUACUAUAAAUAUUUUUGAAGGACACAUCCCUAGUUCAUAGGUGACUCAAUGAUGUAAAUAAAAUAUUUUAGUGUAAACUACAUGAAGCCAGCCUCAGACUUGAUAAAACUCAAGAUUUCUUCAAAUUAGCAAUCUCAUUCUUCCCAAGCAUUGUUGCUGUCACUUUAUUUAUAUUUAGAUGAACUAAGUGUAACUUUGGAAUAGGUAACAUGAGUAAAGGACCAGCUUCAGAGUCCUGGCUGUUGAUUGAGGAUGGUGAAGACUAGGGCCUGGUUUCCAAAAACCCUGCUCUCGAGUACAUAGAAUUCAGAUCAAAAGAGAGGCAGAGUGACUUGUCAUUGGGGUUCUGAGGAACCCCCUCUGCUUAUAUAUAUCACUUAGGAAGAAAAAGCAAAUUUGAGUUAUUAUUCAUGGAUUUUUUGGCUCCUCUUAUUCCUACACUGUCAUCUGAAUUUUUGAAUAGUCGUGGUGGUCAGAUAGGGACAGGCAGUGUCAUUUCUACAUGAGACAAUCUGGUGUCUGUCUUGUUUGUUUUACCUGGUAGGUCAAUGCCUCUCUAUUAGCGCCCACACUGCUGUGUGGGGUACAUUGUGUGGCAGCUGGGCACCUACAGGUGAUGGCUUCCAGGUGUUAGCCUCCAGAAAAUGACUGAAAGUCAUUGCAAACGUCAGAGCUCUAGACAUUCAGCUGCAAAAGCCUUGCAGGCAAGGUCAUGGUUUCAGUACUUACAGCAGGAAACUGAAGAGAAACUUUGAAAGCACAGCCCACAUUGUCCCAGAGGGAGAGCUCACAAAAGUUUGCUUCACUGUAGAAAAACAUUUCACAUACAUAAAAUGUCCACUAUUCCCUGAGGCAAGAAAUAGAGUUUAAAGUGUAUGUUUGAAGGAAGACAAAACAAAAACUAUUUCUUGAAUAUUGUCUGCACGUGGCAGGUAAAUUAGUCUUUUCUAAGUGAAGGCCCCUUUGUUUCUUGGCAACCCAGCAUUUAUUCCUUCAUUCUCAGUGAUGAGAAAUUUCCCUCUUCCAAAAUUUAAGCCAUCUGCACUAUUAGCAUCAUAAUCAAUCUUAGCCAAUAAAUCACCCCACCCAAUAUUCUUGACAACACAAAUUCUGUAUUAUGUUCAAACAUUAUAAUAAAUGACAACAUGGUAUGAUCUAUGAGGCGUCUUAGCGUUAUCCACUUCAUCCAGCUGGGAAAAUUAUGGCCUCCAAAAUUUUCAUAAUUUUGAACACUUAUGUUUUCUGAACAGACUUUGAAAAAUGUGCCAAUUUGGUGGGAUUUUAAAACCACUCACCCAUGGAAGACACACUCAGCUUUUCUUGAAAGAAGACAUUGGGAAUCAAAACAUCUUUUUAAUUCUUUCUAUGGUCAAGCAGCCAGAGAGUUAAUAAAAAUCAACAAUCCAAAGCUAGUUAAUAAUGCAAAGUAGUGGAAAAUGAAAUAUUUUAGCAGGGCUUGGCUUAUUUUGUAUAUAGUUCUAUUUCUUGAGGUUAUGUUUUACAAAUGAGAUAGGCUUCCCUUUGCUGUGAGAAUACAUAUAGUGACUUGCAAAUAUUAAGCCAUUAAUAUCCUUGGUUCCCUUAGGGCAGACACUUUAGGAGCAUUCUAUUUCAAAAAUCCAGAAUCAGUGUACUAAGAUUGCCUCCACCACUUACUACAAUG